UAAGGAAUAUUGGUCAAUGGGCGGAAGCCUGAACCAGCCAUGCCGCGUGCAGGAAGAAAGCUCUAUGGGUUGUAAACUGCUUUUGCAAUGGAAUAAACCUGGUUACGUGUAAUCAGCUGAAUGUACAUUGCGAAUAAGGAUCGGCUAACUCCGUGCCAGCAGCCGCGGUAAUACGGAGGAUCCAAGCGUUAUCCGGAUUUAUUGGGUUUAAAGGGUGCGUAGGCGGCUAUAUAAGUCAGAGGUGAAAGACGACAGCUCAACUGUCGCAGUGCCUUUGAUACUGUAUAGCUUGAAUACAGAUGAAGUAGGCGGAAUGUGGCAAGUAGCGGUGAAAUGCAUAGAUAUGCCACAGAACACCAAUUGCGAAGGCAGCUUACUAAACUGAUAUUGACGCUGAGGCACGAAAGCGUGGGGAUCAAACAGG
rnacentral:rRNA from 1 species